CUCCAUCUCCAUCCCCUCCUUUCCACCCUCCCCUCCCAUCUCGCAAGCUCCGGAAGUCCCGAACCGCCAUGGACGUGGGCUCCAGCUCUCUCUCUCUUCCCGCCUAGAGAGAGAAGAGAGAGAGAGAGACUGCAAGUGGGCGUGUCCCGUCUCCUUCCUCUGCGAUGCCCGUCGUGCCCCCGGACGGCCUCCUCGCGGCGAUCGGCGAUACGGUUGAAGACGGCGGUACCGGGGAGAUGCGGAGAUAGAUAGGACGCGAUCUGGGUUCUCCUGCGCGACGACCGGGUUUCGAGGGUUUCGAUCAUCUUCAGUUGGGGAGGUUUCUUCGAGGCGCGUGUGAUCCCCGAUGGCUGGCGCGGACUCCCAGCUGCAGCCUCGGAACGGACACGGCGCGAUCCCCCCGCCGGAGCUCGAGCUCGUCGAGUGCGACUGCUGCGGCCUCGCGGAGGAGUGCACGCUGGAGUACAUCGGGCGCGUGCGGGAGCGGUUCGGCGGGCGGUGGAUCUGCGGCCUCUGCGCGGAGGCCGUGAAGGACGAGGCGGUCCGGUCGGAGGGGGCAUCGACGGGGAGGAGGCGCUGGGCCGGCACAUGAAGUUCUACGAGCAGUUCCGGUCGUCGAGCCCGCCGGCGAACCCGACGGAGGACUUGAUAUCGGCGGUGAAGCAGCUCCUGAGGCGGACCCUGGACUCUCCCAGGAAGCCGGGCUCGGCCUGCCGGCCGAUGAUGGUGCGAUCCAAGAGCUGCUUCUCGGCAUUGUCUGAAUGACGGUUUCGCCGCAGCAUUUCCGGGGAUCAGAGGUAGAGAAAGUAGAACCGAUGACGAAUAACACGACUGCAGCGUAGGAGUUAGAAAUCUUCUCUAGUUUAGCGCGACGUAGGAUCUGUCGAGCUUCUAAUCUAGUUCAACGCUUCCCUGAUCAUCUCAGUGCGUCCCAUUUCUCAUGGCUAAUGUCCGUCUGAUUCAAACCCUCGAUCAUUACCGACACGUUAUGCAGAGAAAGGCUGACGGAAUCUUCCUCCCUCCAGAGAAUGUUAUUCAGUUCUUCCCAGCUUUCUUGUGCGUGUCUUUAGAAUCCCUUCGAAUAUAUUUUUAUGCCUCGCGAUCGUUUCGCAGAUCUUUCAGAUGCA